rnacentral:rRNA from 1 species
UGCCAGCAGCCGCGGUAAUACGGAGGGUCCAAGCGUUAUCCGGAUUCAUUGGGUUUAAAGGGUGCGUAGGCGGAAUAUUAAGUCAGUGGUGAAAUCUCUCGGCUCAACCGGGAAACUGCCAUUGAUACUGGUAUUCUUGAAUCUACUUGAAGUGGGCGGAAUGUGUCAUGUAGCGGUGAAAUGCUUAGAUAUGACACAGAACACCGAUAGCGAAGGCAGCUCACUAAAGUAGUAUUGACGCUAAGGCACGAAAGCGUGGGGAGCGAACAGGAUUAGAUA